rnacentral:rRNA from 1 species
GAUGAACGCUGGCGGCGUGCCUAAUACAUGCAAGUCGAGCGAAAAGACGAGGAGCUUGCUCCUCUGACGUUAGCGGCGGACGGGUGAGUAACAUGUGGAUAACCUACCUAUAAGACUGGGAUAACUUCGGGAAACCGGAGCUUAUACCGGAUAAUAUCUUGAACCGCAUGGUUCGAUAGUGAAAGACGGUUUUGCUGUCACUUAUCGAUGGAUCCGCGCCGCAUUAGCUAGUUGGUAAGGUAACGGCUUACCAAGGCGACGAUGCGUAGCCGACCUGAGAGGGUGAUCGGCCACACUGGAACUGAGACACGGUCCAGACUCCUACGGGAGGCAGCAGUAGGGAAUCUUCGGCAAUGGGCGAAAGCCUGACGGAGCAACGCCGCGUGAGUGAUGAAGGUCUUCGGAUCGUAAAGCUCUGUUAUUAGGGAAGAACAAAUGUGGAAUUAAAUAUGCACGUCUUGACGGUACCUGAUCAAAAAGCCACGGCUAACUACGUG